CACAGAAAUAGCAGCAGUCAUGCUGCAUGGAGCUCCCCUCAGCUGUCAGAGCGAGCUUCACAGCUGCUCUCACAGACAGACACACAAAGAUGGAGGCUGAGAUAUGGAAGAGCCGGGUGGGGAAAGGAAAGACAAGGCUAGCAAAGAGAAAUCAGGUUUUUGUGUGAUGCUUUUCCACCGUGGGGACAGGAAGCACGGUGAUACAAUGCUAUAGAGCCGCUGUACAAAAACCUCCUCCAUUUAACACGCUUAGUGUGGAGCACUGCAAGUUACCUUGGCUACCUGUCACAGAUUGAAACAUCAAUACUCUGAAAACAUGAAGGAUGCCUUGCUUUUCUGACAUUUUACAAAACAAUUAUUUCAAUUGGGAAACUUGUUUGGAAUUUUUUUUAAGAAAAGCAGAAUUUGGAGGAAAACAUUUUGGGGGAAACACAGCGAACUUGGAUGUUGGAUAUUUCUUUUGCUGAAACUUCAGUAAUAUCAUGUAUUGUUCAAAUGUUCAGUUAUAGGCAGUGACUUUUUGGUAGAGGAUGCAGUCAGAGUGACACUGGAGCUGAAGCUUUCUUUGGAUCUGGAAUUAAACUCACUGUUCUGGAUUCAAAUCCUACUAUGACCCUGCCAACAGUGAAAGUGCUUCAACCUUCACAAAAGGAGUGUCAAAACAACAAAGACAAGAAAAACAAGAAGACCUUGGUGUGUGUGGCCUCUCGUUUCUACCCGGACCACGUGAGUGUGUCCUGGCAGAUCGAUGAGGUUAACAUCACGAGUGGUGUGGCGACCGACAACGCUGCCCUGUGGGAGGGGGAACAUUACAGCAUCAGCAGCCGGCUGAGGGUCCCGCUCAGUGAGUGGUUUACACCUGGCAGGAAGUUCACCUGCACAGUCAGCUUCUUCACUGGGAACGACACUGUGCACCGGUCAAGUUGGGUCGAAGGAGUUGAAGGACCAGGAGCCCGGAGCGAUAAGAGAGAAAUAUUUGAGGAUCACACACAAUGCCAAGCUGUUCUACAUUCUUUUGAUCGUCAAGAGCAGCAUCUUCGGAGUCUUCGUGGUGUUUCUGGUGUGGAGGCUUCAGGUUCGUUCAACAUGAGUCGUCAUGGUGACCCUGUAACAAAGAAACCCCAGUGGAAGUAUUGUAGUAAAUGUUCAAUUAAAGCUGCCUGUAAGACACGCAGUAUGCAACAUUGCUGGCUUCACCUAUCUGUUAAAAUGAUGGCUUUUUGUCGGAUAAAAGUGUCCGUUAUGUAAAAGUUAGUUAUGGCAAUAUGCAGAUAUGACAAGACUGCUACAGUAAGAGUCAUAAGGCAAGGCAAGUGAAUUUAUAUAGCACAUUACAGCAACAAGGCAAGAGGAAACAUUAUAAAAAAGUCAUUAAAACAAUUAAAAACAGUCAUUAAAGAGCCAAGAGAAUACAAAAUAAAGUUACAGUGCAGUGUAAGAAAUAAUAAUAAUUUGAUUUAAUAAAAGGCAGCAGCAAACAGAAGUACCUGCGGUGUUGCUCCUCAGCAACUUAAUAUUAGCCGAUUUACAAUGUUCUGUAGUUUAUUAAACAUUUCUUUGUGCACAAGAGAUGAUAAGUAAGUAAUCAGUUAGUGAUUUAAAGAACAAGACCUUUGUGUAAUCUUUCUCUCUCUCUCUCUCUCUCUCUGUGUUUGCAUUCAAUGCAGACUUGUGCUGUAUGAACAGAAAUGUUACUCACGUUUAUGUAAAGGUGACUUGAGGACUUUGUCAUCACUUUACUUUACCAAGGUGCCUGUCUGAAAGGGACUUAAGUGAAGUAGGUGUUGGAAUUAAUUAAUAUAAUAAUAGUAAUCAUUUUUUUAAUAAAUCACUGAAAAUAUGUCCUCCUCUCUCUGCUGCUCAGGGGUCAACUGGAAAACAGAAGGACUGAGAGCCGAGCUGCACAAACCAGCUGAUUCUCCUCAUUUCUGUAGACAAAGAAUGUUUCAUCAGUUAAUCACAAUCUGCACAAAUUAGAGCAACUAAAAGCGUU